GACGUAGGGGGCAAGCGUUGUUCGGAAUUAUUGGGCGUAAAGCGCUCGUAGGCGGGACAGGAAGUUCGUGUUGAAAGACCUCGGCUCAACUGAGGGACCGGCUCGAAUACUCUUGUUCUUGAGGCAAUCAGAGGGUGAUGGAAUUCCCGGUGUAGCGGUGAAAUGCGUAGAUAUCGGAAGGAACACCUGUGGCGAAAGCGGCUCACUGGACCAUUACUGACGCUGAUGCACGAAAGCUAGGGGAGCAAACAGG
rnacentral:rRNA from 1 species